AACUAGCCCCGAUGGAAACGGCAUCCUUUUGUGAUGAGGAACGAAGAGCAAAAGAUAUAGUGGACAGCGGGUUCCCGG
rfam:Chryseobacterium sp. Leaf394 contig_2, whole genome shotgun sequence.